rnacentral:rRNA from 1 species
GAUGAACGCUAGCUACAGGCUUAACACAUGCAAGUCGAGGGGUAACGAGAGGAAAGCUUGCUUUCCUUGUCGACGACCGGCGCACGGGUGAGUAACGCGUAUCCAACCUGCCCCCAACUAGGGAAUAACCUUGCGAAAGUAAGACUAAUACCCUAUAAUUUCCUCAGAUGUCAUCUGACGAGGAAUAAAGAUUUAUCGGUUGUGGAUGGGGAUGCGUCUGAUUAGCUUGUUGGCGGGGUAACGGCCCACCAAGGCAACGAUCAGUAGGGGUUCUGAGAGGAAGGUCCCCCACAUUGGAACUGAGACACGGUCCAAACUCCUACUGGAGGCAGCAGUGAGGAAUAUUGGUCAAUGGGCGGAAGCCUGAACCAGCCAAGUAGCGUGCAGGAUGACGGCCCUAUGGGUUGUAAACUGCUUUUAUACAGGAAUAAAGUUAGCCACGUGUGGUUAUCUGUAGGUACUGUAUGAAUAAGGACCGGCUAAUUCCGUGCCAGCCGCCGCAGUAA